CGCGAUCGUUGGCGGCGUGCCUAACACAUGCAAGUCGUGGGGCAGCAGGCUACUGUCUUUUGGCAGUAGUGCUGGCGACCGGCAAACGGGUGAGUAACACGUAGCUUACCUACCCAUAGGUUGGGGAUAACAUCCCGAAAGGGGUGCUAAUACCCAAUAAUGAGGAGACUCCAAAGCCCUUAUGGGCGCCUAUGGAUGGGGCUGCGUCCCAUCAGCUAGUUGGUGAGGUAAUGGCUCACCAAGGCUACGACGGGUAACCGGUCUGAGAGGAUGACCGGUCACAGUGGGACUGAGACACGGCCCGCACCCCUACGGGGGGCAGCAGUGGGGAAUAUUGGGCAAUGGCCGAAAGGCUGACCCAGCAACGCCGCGUGGUGGAUGAAGCCCUUCGGGGUGUAAACACCUUUUCUGGGGGAAGAUAAUGACGGUACCCCAGGAAUAAGGGACGGCUAACUACGUGCCAGCAGCCGCGGUAAUACGUAG
rnacentral:rRNA from 1 species